UACGAAGGGGGCUAGCGUUGCUCGGAAUCACUGGGCGUAAAGGGCGCGUAGGCGGCGUUUUUAAGUCGGGGGUGAAAGCCUGUGGCUCAACCACAGAAUGGCCUUCGAUACUGGGACGCUUGAGUAUGGUAGAGGUUGGUGGAACUGCGAGUGUAGAGGUGAAAAUUCGUAGAUAUUCGCAAGAACACCGGUGGCGAAGGCGAGUCCCUGGACACUUCCUGACACUGAGGCGCGAAAGCUAGGGGAGCAAACAGG
rnacentral:rRNA from 1 species